UAGGGAAUCUUCCGCAAUGGGCGAAAGCCUGACGGAGCAACGCCGCGUGAGUGAUGAAGGUCUUCGGAUCGUAAAACUCUGUUAUUAGGGAAGAACAUAUGUGUAAGUAACUGUGCACAUCUUGACGGUACCUAAUCAGAAAGCCACGGCUAACUACGUGCCAGCAGCCGCGGUAAUACGUAGGUGGCAAGCGUUAUCCGGAAUUAUUGGGCGUAAAGCGCGCGUAGGCGGUUUUUUAAGUCUGAUGUGA
rnacentral:rRNA from 1 species